AGCUGGUCUGGGCAGUGGUGUUUACAACUAAUUGAUCACAGAUUCCUUUGCUCUUUCUCCACUCCCACUGCUUCACUUGACUGGCCCAAA
rnacentral:Y_RNA from 1 species